rnacentral:lncRNA from 1 species
AGGAGAUCACGCAUGACCUCUCCCGAAUGCUCACGGGACAUGGAGCUGCGCAUGCGCAGAACUUCCCUAGCCAGCAACCCCUACUUCACACCUAACUGAGCGAGCUCCCCGGUUGUGGCCCGGGAUGACAAUACCCGCGUAGCACUGAGCAGUGUCUGUGUUACACACUGAGAUGGUGGGCAGGUUAACAUAAGGUGCCCCUGUGCGAAGCUGGCGGUCAGCCGUGGGAUCAGUACUCCCGGAAGACACGACUCCCGGAAGACACGGCUGCCGGAGCUGCCUGGAUCCCAUCAGGGAAGCUUCCAGGAGUGCUGUGGCCAACAGUAGUAGUGGCUCCAAUGACAGCAGCAGUGAACUUCAGCACAACUCACUGGCCAGUAUUCUGGAGGAUGUGACACUGAUGUCAGCCAGAUUUUCAGUGGAGACAAUGGCACAAGAUGCCAACAGAAGCUUCUCCCAGGUUCUCUUCAGAUAUUUGAGCAUAUUUCCAGACCUCUUCAGGGAGAGGGCGUUUGACUCUGCUGAUGGGAACUUUGGCAGUUCUGUUUCUGAAGGGUAAAAAGGCUUGUUCCGUGACGUGACCUGUGGGAGAGAUUAUGGAGGUUUUCAACUGUACAUGCCGAAGGAGCAAACACCGCUUAAGCUAGGCUGUGCUUCCUAAACAAUUCCACUUCAAGAGGGCUCCUUGCUGUUCCCUGAGCCUUUGCAUCCACCACAUUCUCCACACUGUCUGCAGUUAGGUCUCGAUUCACAUGUCGCCUUUCCCGAUGACCCUAAAACGGCAAGAAUCCUUCCUACUUCGUGUGCCUUCACCAAGCUUCCUGCUCUAUUUCUCCACAUAGCACUUACCUGUCAAAUAUCUCUAUAUAAAUAAAAUAUAUGUAUUUAUAUAUAAUUUAUAAAUAAUAUAUAUAUUUCUGUAGUGUAUGUCAUCUCUCACCAUAAUAAAUUGUAUGAAAAAAAGGACUUUAAUUUCUUUCCUGUUAUCUUUUUGGUGUAUAAAACUUUGCCUGGUGCAGAGCAGGUGCUCAAAACAUUUUGUUAAAUGAAUGAAAUUAUGAACAGAUGUCAAUGAAGGUUCUUAAAUAAAAUAUUAUUGUGUAGAAAAUAAAUGUACACUUUAUAAUGCCUUCACAAUAAGGAAAGCCCCUGUUUACUCAUAUGUUUUACUGAAGGAUUAACACUCAACCUUCAACAAUAAAAAUUCAUGUUGUACAAAAUAAGGUGUGUGUGCUAACAAUAACUUGGAGUUUUUUUGCAUUAGUAAAAAUUAGGCAUUUUUUUCUGAAAAAGAGAAGGCAUCACAACAUUAUUGUUAUUAGUUAUUAGAAGAUAAAUGUUAUUAGAAGAUAAAUACAGAGUGGAAAUGUCUGAGACUUGAAUACUGUUAAACAGCGAUGUGCUCCUUUGUCAGAAUGUAAUUAUUAAUUUAUUUUUUAUAAGGGAUGUAUCUAUGUAAUAGGAAUUUUAGAAAAUACUGGAAACACUAAGAAGAAAAUGUAAAUCGCAUUUUAUUUCAUCAUCAGAGGUAACUGAUGUUAAUUUGAUAUAUACCUAAUAUGUGUUUUAGAUGAGAAUUACAAAGCAUUGGUAUUACAGUUUACGAGUUUUAUGAAACCUGGUAUUGUUCUAUUUAAUAAUAUAUCUAAAUAUCUUCUCAUGUUAUUAAAUGUUACCCUACAUGACAUUUUAAUAGCUUAAUAGUAUUUUACUUUAUGGAUGAAAACUAUUAAUUUAGUGAGUCCCGUAUUGUUGGACAUUUACAUUAUUUAUGAUUUUUCACUGUUACAAACAAUAUUUCAAAGAGCAUCCAUAUAGUAAAGCUUUAUACCUACCCAUGGUUAUCUCCUUAGAAUGAAUUUCUGUAAGUGGAAACUUUAGGUCACAGAAAGUAUGCACUUUUCACUCACUUUAUAUUUACCUCCAAAUUAUUCUCCAGAAAGAGUAUGGCAAAUUUUUCUUCCUACAUCAGUGUACAGAGUAUAAGUAAAUUAAUUUUAUAUAAUGAGGAGGAAAUGUUAUUUUGACAGCUAAGUUCAAAGUUUAUUUUAAAAUAAAAGCUUUUGUUUGGAAAAUCACUUUAAUAUAUGCUUAUGGUAGAAGGUAAGCUUCCCGAGGGCUUACAAGUCAAUAGCUGCUUUGUAUGGGGCAAGGGGAGAAAAAAGGCUUUUUUCAUACUGAGUUGGGUAAGAUGGUGAGAGUUCUGGACCAUUGGAAGGGCCAGUAAAACCCCAUGGAAGUCAGGAGUUUCAAUGGUAUGUGAAUAUCAUUCUUCAGAAAACAAACAAACAAAAAUACUACUGUAAAGUUGUUUGCGUUGUUGUUACAAGUUAUGUAAAGUUAACUCAUGAGAAGCUUGUGUGAAUGGAGUUUUUAGUAGAAGUUGAAGGGAGGUUGAUUAUUAUCUUGGGGUCACUGUGGGGUAGCAUUUGAGUUGAUAAACAGGGAGCUAGGAACCCAGGAAAAGAAGGGAUGAUGAAAGUCAAGUCCUCAAGAAUGUGCCGAAAUCUUGGUGAGAAGCUUGUAUUUCCUAGUUCAUUGGGACAGUGGAGAGACAGCAAUGAUUGAGUGACGUUUGUUAAUUUCCUGGGGGCGUGGAGGCUCCCACCUGACAUCUGACUUAUAUAUUAGUAAACUCUAGAUAUUAGUUUUGAAGACCUUUUAAUGUGAAUAUUAAAGUUGUCACAGCAGGCAAUGUUCAAAGCUAGUUCUGUUAUUGUUGCCAUUAGAUCCAGAAUAGUGAGGCUGGUAGAACCCCUUAAUUCGUGUUUUCUUUUGGUCAUGAUGAGAUAGAUAAAAGUAUACAGUGACUGUAAAGAGAGAUCAGCAUGAAAAAGUGUAAGCCUGGGUUGGGUUGUCAGAUUUGGCAAAUAAAAAUAUUGCAUAUUAAUACCAAAAAAAUGUUCAUUGUUUCUCUGAAAUUCAAAUUUAAUUGGUGUCUUGUAUUUUAUCUGGCAAACUUAAGCUUGAGUUUCUAAUAAGGACGAAGCGACCAUUCAGGAGAUGCG